rnacentral:lncRNA from 1 species
GCGAAUUUCUUCAUAUGUUUCAUCAGUCAGUCAAACUAUUCCCCGUACAGGGCAUGCACACAUAUCCACAUUAUAUAUUCAAAGCACUUUAAGUCAUUUAUAUUUCGAUAAAAGUGUUUAUGCAAAUCUUGUAAAACGUAAUCGUAAAGCGGACGAAGAACCGCCAACGAUACCGAAGCCAAUGUCGAUGCCUGAAAGCGCAUUACCACAGCUGGAGGCAGUUCCGGAGGAAAGACAGAGAGAGGGAGAUGGCAUCUGAGUUGUAAAAAUUGAAAUAAAUGUAUGCUGGGACAUGGAGACCUCUCUCCACACACACACACACACACAGACAGACAUAUUGUAUGCAAAGCAUGUGUGUGAGAGCGUAUAUAGGGGUGUGCGUGAGUGUCUGUGGCAUAAGUUAUGCCUCGCUGGUGCCCAAAUGGACAGAGGGUGGCACCUGACUGCUGCUCAGCACCCAGCCCCCCCCAGACACCUUCAGUUAUUCUGACCUCAGACCCGACCACAAUGGAACAAACAUUUUUGCGAAUAGAAAAUUGAGUUAGCGGCGCCCGCUUCCUAAAAUCAAGUUAGAAUCUUAUAUUACCCUAUAAAGGAAUAAGUUUUGAGAGUGGAAA